rnacentral:rRNA from 1 species
UACGUAGGGUGCAAGCGUUGUCCGGAAUUAUUGGGCGUAAAGAGCUCGUAGGCGGUUUGUUGCGUCGGCUGUGAAAUCCCUCGGCUCAACCGAGGAACGUCGAUCGAUACUGCUGUUCUUGAGGAUUGCAGAGGAGACUGGAAUUCCCGGUGUAGCGGUGAAAUGUGUAGAGAUCGGGAGGAACACCGGUGGCGAAGGCGGGUCUCUGGGCAAUUCCUGACGCUGAGGCGCGAAAGCGUGGGGAGCAAACGGG